AUUCCGGUCAUUUUAAAAAAAAUUGUGCUUGUUUUCAACUUAAUUUUUAAGAAGUUUAUAAAAUUGGAAUUAAGAUCAACAAUUCAUUCAUUAGUUAUUGAGGUUUAAAUCUAUUGUAGAAAUUAUUAGGAUUUGGUUAGGAUUUGAUUUAAGAUUAGGGUUUGGUUAAGGUUUGAUUUAGGAUUUAGGAUUUGAUUAGGAUUUAAUUAGGGUUUGAUUUAGGAUUAGGAUUUGGUUAGUGUUUGAUUUAGAAUUAGGAUUUAGUUUAGGAUUUAGGAUUUGGUUAGAGUUUGAUUUAGGAUUAAAGUUUCGUUAGGGUUUGAUUUAGGGUUAGGAUUUGAUUUAGGAUUAGGAUUUGGUUAGGGUUUGAUUAAGGUUUGGUUUAAGGUUUAGGAUUAGGAUUAGGAUUUGGUUAGAAUUUGGUUUAGGAUUUAGGAUUUGAUUUAGGACUUAGGAUUUUAUUUGAGUUUAUUUAAGAUAUAAGCUUUAGUUAGUUUUUGGCCUAAAAUUUGAAUGAAGUAAGAUUUCAACUAGGAUUAUAUUAAGAUUGAAUUGAGAUGUAUUUGAGAUAUGUUUGUAAUCAUUCUAAUAUUUCUUUAAGAUUUCUUAUUAUUUCUUUGGAAUUCCUUUGAGGUUUCUUUGAAUUUGAUUAAAGUUUGUUUAACAUUGUUAGUAUUCUAUUAGAGUUAGAAUUUUGUUGUUACAAUUUCUAUUCUACCUUUUACAGCCAGGUGCCCAGAGUAUUCUCAAGCAAGACUUCACGUAUUACGACAACAUUUGGAUCAUAUAGAAAUUGAUCUAAUCGACAAAAUCGAGCAUUCAAUA
rnacentral:lncRNA from 1 species